rnacentral:rRNA from 1 species
UGCAGUCGAGCGGUAGCACAGAGAGCUUGCUCUCGGGUGACGAGCGGCGGACGGGUGAGUAAUGUCUGGGAAACUGCCUGAUGGAGGGGGAUAACUACUGGAAACGGUAGCUAAUACCGCAUAACGUCGCAAGACCAAAGUGGGGGACCUUCGGGCCUCAUGCCAUCAGAUGUGCCCAGAUGGGAUUAGCUAGUAGGUGGGGUAAUGGCUCACCUAGGCGACGAUCCCUAGCUGGUCUGAGAGGAUGACCAGCCACACUGGAACUGAGACACGGUCCAGACUCAUACGGGAGGCAGCAGUGGGGAAUAUUGCACAAUGGGCGCAAGCCUGAUGCAGCCAUGCCGCGUGUAUGAAGAAGGCCUUCGGGUUGUAAAGUACUUUCAGCGAGGAGGAAGGCAUUAAGGUUAAUAACCUUGGUGAUUGACGUUACUCGCAGAAGAAGCACCGGCUAACUCCGUGCCAGCAGCCGCGGUAAUACGGAGGGUGCAAGCGUUAAUCGGAAUUACUGGGCGUAAAGCGCACGCAGGCGGUCUGUCAAGUCGGAUGUG